rnacentral:rRNA from 1 species
AUUGAACGCUGGCGGCAGGCCUAACACAUGCAAGUCGAGCGAGCGGUGGACGGGUGAGUAAUGUCUGGGAAACUGCCUGAUGAAGGGGGAUAACUACUGGAAACGGUAGCUAAUACCGCAUACCCUCAGAUGUGCCCAGAUGGGAUUAGCUAGUAGGGGGGGUAACGCCUCACCUAAGCGACGAUCCCUAGCUGGUCUGAGAGGAUGACCAAACACCCUGGACAUACGACACGGUCCACACUCCUACGGGAGGCAGCAGUGGGGAAUAUUGCACAAUUGGCGCAAUCCUGAUGCAGCCAGGCCGCGUGUGUGAAGAAGGCUGUCGGGUUGUAAAGCACUUUCAGCGGGGAGGCGUUACCCGCAGAAGAAGCACCGGCUAACUCCGGGCCAGCAGCGGCGGUAAUUC